ACCCUUAAAAUUUAUUUGAUGGAAUGAAAUGGUACUUUUGGAGAGACGCAACCUGUUCACAGUUAACCUACCUAUUAAUUACUGGAUUAAGUAAGAGGGGUUUGAGGUUUUAAGCUUGCAAACCCACGGAAAACCAUGAAGGUCGGCCGAUUCCGGCGCCGCCACGCCUGAGCAGAUCGCAUCCACGGCAUAGAAGACGGCCCCCCGGCAUCGCCCUAAAUCCUUAUGCACAUGGAAGUCCAACUCGCAUCAAAAGUCUCUGAUAUCUUUAAUCUAGUUCUUACAAAACCCUAACUACUCGUGAAUUUGUUCUGCCUUUCCUACGGUAUAGGGACCAUGGCGGAGAAUGUACAACCUAGUUCCCCUAAUCCUUGCUGCGCCCUGUGGAUAAAAAGGAGCCAGAAGCUGGAAAAGAGCAGGGAUGCUCUCCGACAAAGCGUGAAGAUCCUGGAGGGACAAAUAGAGAAGCAAAGCGUCGAGAUUGCUUCUCUUAAAAAAGGGGCUGAGAAUCAUAAGAUGCAACGGGGGCAGCUAAAAGAUGAAAGUAAAGAGGCUAAUAUAAAAAAGGAUCUGGAGAAACAAAUUGUAGAUUUGAAGGUCAAGAUAUCUUCAUUGGAGAAUAUUAGGAGCUUGAAGAGUAAUGAUGAAGAUGAGCUUGGGAUGCUUAAAGCACGUAUUUCAGCAGGUCAGGAAGAAGUAAAAAGUCUUAAAGAGCUUCUUGAGAAGGAAAGAAGGAAAGCUGAUUCUGAGGGUAGAAAAACUGAGUCAGAGAAAAAGAAAGCAACAGAAGCUUGGAAGCUUUUGAAAGAUGAGAAAAAGAAGGCAGAUGAACAUAAAUGCCUUUUGGAGGCUGAGAAGAAGAAAUCAGAAGAUUUAAGACUAUGUUUGGAAAAGUUGAAAGUUGAAGCUAAUGAAUUGAGAGAAAAAUUGAGUGCAGAGAUAGCGAAAAGUUAUGAUGCAAGAAAACAGAUUGAAGUUGAGAAGCUGAAAGCACAUGGAGAAAAGAAGCGUGCUGAUUCCGAAAGGAAAAAGGCUAAAAAACAAAAGAUGCUGAUUGAAGAAGAGAGGAAAAGGGUUCUUGAUCUAAAAAAGCAGGCAAAUGAUUCAUGCCAGAUGUUGGAGGAAGAAAGGAGGAAGAGAAAACAAAUUCAGAAAAAGUUGGAGGAUUUGUCUGUUGUAUGUAAUUUUGGGGACAGAGAAAGUAGUGUCUGUAAAGGUCUGACAGCUGCUGAACUGAAGCUUUUAAAGAAGCAGCUUAAGUUAGAAAGAAAGCGGGUGAAGCAUGCUGAAAGAGUAGCUAAGCAAGAAAAAUAUGAAAAAAGAGUUGUAGUACGAGAAGUUCACCUCUUAAAGCAGAAUAUCAUGCAGAUUCUUUAUCGUCUUAACAUGCUUGAUGGUCUCGUUUCUCAUAAUGUGGGAAUUACUGAUGAUGUCCAAAAGACUUUGAAUUAUCCAGAUUUGACAUGCUUUAAACUGAAUGACUUACUAUGCUCAAUGAAAGAUGAUUUUGAUUCACAUGCUGAAUUUGGAGCAUCAGAAAUUCAGUAUGGGGAUCCAUUCACCUAUGCUAUGCCAUUAGGCGAAUGCAUGGGUCUUCCUGUAUCGAGAGGAUGCUGUAGCAAGCCAAAAACAGGUAUAAAUUCUGAGUUGGAGUCUCCGGUUGGAGGUUCUCUCAGAAAAAAGUCACAAAGUUCUGCAGUAUGUUCUACUAGCAUACAUUUUUCUGAUAGAAAGUUAAUGGGCUCACAGGGAAGAGAUUCUGUUGUUGAGAUCUCUACAACCAAAUUAGCAGAGAAAGCAAAGCACGAUCUAUCCAUUGAGAAAUUUCCCAGUGAAGCUGCCCAAAUUGGAAUGCUCAAAGGUUGUCAGGUUGGUGCAAAAGAUACUGUUGGAAGCACUGCUCUGAAUGAAGUGGAGAAACCAUGCUCUAAUUCAUCUACAUAUAAGGCUGUUGCUCAAGUGAGUGCCAAUAGUUCAAAGAAGAGAAAGAUUGAAAUUUGCACCAAAUCUUUACGUACUGAAGAUAAAUUGCAUCAGGUAAAUAGAGAUAAAGUGACAACUGUGAAUGAUCGAAUGAGAAAUUUAAAGCAGGUUUCAUUGGCAAAUUGCUCCCAGAUUCCUGCAGCAUUCGAUAUUGAUAAUGAAAAAUUUUCCCAGAAGGAAGGUCAAAGUGACCCCUGUAAAAAUAAUUAUGAUCACAUCAAGAAGAUAGCCUCUACCUCUCAUCAAACUGAAAAAUCAGCCGUCAAACGCGGUGAUAGGAAGAAUGCUGGUAAAUCUAUGUCCAAAUAUAGUUUGGAACCUUGUUGCGUUCAGGCAGCUGGACCAGUUUCUUCUAGCAUUGACCUAGGAGUGACUUCUCUUAGCAACAAAAAAUCUUCUUUAAGGAGUUUUGAGAACAUGAUAAGUGGGGGAUGUUUGAAACUGCUUGAGCUGGACAAUUAUUCUGAUGAGGUUAGGUUCAUGAAUGCUUUGGAGGUGCCUCUUUCCCCAACUUUGCCGGAAAUCGUGAUUCCAAACUUCCAACUUGAUGGAGAAGAUAUCUCUUAUGCUGUGAUGGUAAGGGAUAACCCAGUGCCUCCUUGUUCGUUCAAUAUCAUGGAUUUGGAGAAUGCUUCCAUCAAUUCAAAAUCGAAAAUUGUUACCAAGAAAGAAUUGUCAAACAACAACACUACGCAACAUGAUGUUUUCCAUGAUAUCACACGGGAUACUUGUCUAGCUGAUAAUAGUGAGUCAAUUAUUUUUGAGCAUGGUUAUGAUCCCAGGGAACCUAAAACAAGGUCGGAUCAGAAAUAUCAUGGUUUAAAGCACUUUCCAGCAGAACAUAAAAAGAUUGAGCUUGAAGUGGUUCCUGUUUCGAUAGUUAUUAACGAUACCUUCUCAAGGGGGUAUGAGAAAUCACAACCAUCACCUGAUGAAAUUGGUAUAUUUUCAGAGCCAUCACAUUCCCAACUAUUUCAUGAGUGUGGCCACUCUGGAAGUAGUGCAAUAGAUAAUUCUGAUUCGACUAGCCAUUUAUCUUCAUGCGUGGUUAAAUUAAGUAAAGAACUUAGAGGUUGUCAGCAAAUGAAUUCAGAUUUUAUUAAAAAUCAAUCAGAAGUUAAAACAGUAAUUGACCCUGUUUUUGUUCAGGGAUUAAAUCGAACACUUCCCUCUGAUACAGAUAAAUUAACUAAAGGAAACAGCCUUACCAGUGCAGAAGAAGGCACGGAACAUAAUAUCCAACAGAAAUUGGAGUCCGGUUUGAUGUCAACAGUCCCCAACAUCUCAUCUUCAUAUCCUGAUUCAAAAGUAAAAUCUCCCUCUAAAGAUGAAAAUUAUCCUGGAAGAAUUAUCCGUUCCUUUACUUCAUUUUCAAGUGCUAGGAAUACGGACAGCAUGUCUAGAAUUAUUUCUUCUUUCAAUUCUGUUACACCCCAAAACUUAAUGGUUUCCAAGACAGACUUACUGAUUGUAGAAGUCCUUGAUGGAUUGCAAUUAGAAGAUCUCCAAUCAGAGGAGAAGGUUGCAGUUUUCUUUUCACUUUUGCUUGCCAAUUUAUCUGAGAGGAUGUCAGAUCAUUGCAAGCACAUCGUGGAUGAAGAUUCUUUCCAGUUCUUGGAAUCAUUUUCCAUGGAGAUAGUCAGAGCUGUUUCUUCUGGAAAGACGAAAUAUGUUUUGGAUCAAACGUUUCACUUAGAUAUCCUUUUCUGUCUCAUGGAGAGUUUUCUUAUUGCAAGGGAAGUUCUAGUAAUUGGUGAUGUAAAGCAGCACUCAUCAAGCUUUCCUGCCUUUCCGGACUGUAAAUUUCACCUGGAUGUGGGAAAUAACUGCGUGCUCUCUCAAGAUGUUACAAUUAGUCAAUUUAUUGCUGGCUGUACUGUAUUAGCGUCUAUUUGUGUUGCAGCUGAUGAUAUUGGCGUCCUACUAGUUUUUUCUCAUAAGCUACUGCAGACGUUUCACAACGACAUCACUUGGGUUUUGCUAGCUCUUCAUGUUUUUGCUAAUAUUUUUGGGAAGAGGUUUUUCAACCUGGAUAACUACAGUUUUCUUGUGACCACUAUAAAAUCUGUGGUUUUGCUUCUUGAGGGAAGGCUUAAAUUGGUUUCAUAUCCACCGCCUUGCUGUCUUAAUUCAACAUCCAGGAUGGUUGUAGAAUUUGCACCAUGCAAGCAAUGCCCAUUUGCCGUGGAUGCUAUAUGCAUGGAGAAACUUUUAAGCUUUCAGUUGGAUGCUUUAGAAGAUUAUAGCUUCUCUGGUGACGACCACUCAAAUACAAUUAAGUAUUUUGUUUCUUUAAACGGAUCAGCUCCUACAAGAGAUACAGAGGAUAAAGAUUCAAGUGAUGCUAAAAGCAAAUUUGAUGUCCAGUGCGAUGCUUCUUGUGCUAUCUUUAGGUACAGAGAGCUUGCUGGCAAUCAGCCAGAUAGACGUUCUGAGGCAGUUUUUUGUGACUUCAUAGAUAUUAUUUCAUUGGUCGAAUUGGUGGGUCACUACAUGGGCUGGGAGUGGAUGUACAAUGAAGCAGUGCCUCGUCUGUUGAAAAUGCUGGAAGCUUGUGUUUGCGAGGAGUUCUUAGCUGCUCUUUUUGUAUUAGUGGGCGAACUAGGAAGACAUGGUUGUAAUUCUGGCGGAUAUGAGCAAGCAGGAAUUGCAGGACUGAGAAGUAGGAUGAUCAAGUUGCUAGACAACCUCAUUGCUAGGAAAGCAAGCUUUCCAACUCAAGUUGCCGCUGUUGUUGCUAUGUUAAAUCUUCUUCCUUUAGAAUUGGAAGAUAUUAUCUCUGAGCAUCGAGAGAUUACUCUGGACUCAAGUGAAUCUCCCUACAUCAAACACAUACAAGAAUGGUUUUUCAAGUUAAGCGGGGAGCAACAGUUGGCAUUAAAAUCUGUUUUUGACAAUGAAAAUCAUCUAAGAAGCACCACAGCAAUUGAAUCCACCUUGAGGUCACUCAACGAGCUUAUUGAUUUUGUAAUAGUCAUAUUUCAUCAAAUCAGCUCGGAUGAGCCAUUCAUUCCAUUGCCUACAAAUUCUUUUGGGUUGGAUUGGUUCAGCUUCAAGUUUUGAUUUUCGUUGAAAAAUGACAUUGUAGGCAGCAUAACCCAGAACUAGAAUCUUAUUGCAUCAGGCCCAGGAACAUGAACCCCAUUGGAUCAGGGAACUUUGAUACUUUAUCAGAUCUGAUUCUGCAAGGCCGUUGAUAACAAUUUGGCACAAAUCUCUCUAGCCCUGGUGAAUGCUUCCUACUCAUCCUCUCACUGUUAGCAGCCUAAUUAUUUCGUUCAAUUGUUUACAUGUUUUUAUAGAGUUUUUAGAACAUUUAUCAUAUGAAAUGCUAUUAUAUUAGAGUAAAAAUUAAUAAUAUAUUUGGUCUGAGAAAACCAACUAGGCUUAUUCUUUAUUCAUCGAUCAGAUUUUAAUGAGGUGGAAUGCUCUGCUAUUAUAAUUUGCGUUUAGCAAACAUUGGCUUGUUCUAUACGUGGUUAGCAACUUUUUCAAUCCUUCAA